CAGCAGCAGCUUUUAAGCAGCUUUUGGCAGUACUCUGGUUCUAAAAUUCCUACAAUACUACUGUUGGGUUAAAAGAUGUAACUAGAACAAUGGAGCAUGUAAGGAAGAUUUGAUCCCGGCAGCCAAGAAGCGACACCCCUGAACACCAUUUAAGAAGGACAAUAAUAGACAGGUGUUGGAUGGUGGAGAAAGAAGUUGGCGUUG